rnacentral:rRNA from 1 species
GUGAGGAAUAUUGGUCAAUGGACGGAAGUCUGAACCAGCCAAGUAGCGUGCAGGAUGACGGCCCUAUGGGUUGUAAACUGCUUUUAUGCGGGGGUAAAGUGAGUGACGUGUCAUUCAUUGCAAGUACCGCAAGAAUAAGGACCGGCUAAUUCCGUGCCAGCAGCCGCGGUAAUACGGAAGGUCCUGGUGUUAUCCGGAUUUAUUGGGUUUAAAGGGAGCGUAGGCCGUCAGGCAAGCGUGUUGUGAAAUGUCGUGGCUCAACCAUGGACUUGCAGCGCGAACUGCCCGACUUGAGUGCGCGGAAAGCAGGCGGAAUUUGUGGUGUAGCGGUGAAAUGCUUAGAUAUCACGAAGAACCCCGAUUGCGAAGGCAGCCUGCUGUAGCGCUACUGACGCUGAAGCUCGAAAGUGCGGGAAUCAAACAGGAUUAGAUACCCGGGUAGUCC